rnacentral:rRNA from 1 species
AACGAACGCUGGCGGCAGGCUUAACACAUGCAAGUCGAACGCGUGUAGCAAUACACGAGUGGCGCACGGGUGAGUAACGCGUGGAUAUCUGCCUUUUGGUUCGGAAUAACUCCGGGAAACUGGAGCUAAUACCGGAUGGUUCCUACGGGAUAAAGAUUUAUCGCCAAAAGAUGAGUCCGCGUACGAUUAGCUAGUUGGUGAGGUAAUGGCUCACCAAGGCGACGAUCGUUAGCUGGUCUGAGAGGACGAUCAGCCACACCGGGACUGAGACACGGCCCAGACUCCUACGGGAGGCAGCAGUGGGGAAUAUUGGACAAUGGGGGGCAACCCUGAUCCAGCCAUGCCGCGUGAGUGAUGAAGGCCUUCGGGUUGUAAGCUCUUUGGUCGGGGACGAUGAUGACGGUACCCGGCAGAAUAAGCCCGGCUAACUUCGUGCCAGCAGCCGCGGUAA